rnacentral:lncRNA from 1 species
UCCAUUUUGCAAAUAUAAGUCUUAGGUAGCUAGCAACAGUGCAUCAUCCUACAUGUCAGCAGGAUAGCAGCACCUACACAAGGCAUAGCAGCACCUACACAAGGCAAAUACUACACACACUUCAUAAGGCAAUGUUGCACUUAGUAAAAGAUCAGCAUAAUAUCAUCCUAGUCCUACCAAUCAGUAAACCCAAAAGAAUGUCCACAUCCCAUUUGUGCAGUCACUUGGAUGCAUAGUCACUGCUCAGUAGAGAGAUGAUCAUCAUCGCUUUGGGAGGAAUUGUCAUCAUCACCAUCUUCAAGGCAGCCAUCGUCAUCAUCGUCCUCAGUGUGGUCAUCAUCACCGUCUUCAUUGGAGUACUGGACAUGAUUGUUGCCUUGAUGGUAGCUACAGUCAUCACCAUCGCUUUCAUGGUAGCUGUAGUCAUCGUCAUCGUCGUCUUCAUCAUCAAUGUUGUUGUUGCUGCGCCUUUCAUCAACAGAAUGAGAGCCUCCAUAUGACCCAGUAGC